CAGUAGCCGCGGUAAUACGAAGGGUGCAAGCGUUACUCGGAAUUACUGGGCGUAAAGCGCACGCAGGCGGUUUGUUAAGUCAGAUGUGAAAUCCCCGAGCUUAACUUGGGAACUGCAUUUGAAACUGGCAAGCUAGAGUCUUGUAGAGGGGGGUAGAAUUCCAGGUGUAGCGGUGAAAUGCGUAGAGAUCUGGAGGAAUACCGGUGGCGAAGGCGGCCCCCUGGACAAAGACUGACGCUCAGGUGCGAAAGCGUGGGGAGCAAACAGGAUUAGAUACCCGAGUAGUCCCUGUCUCUUAUAC
rnacentral:rRNA from 1 species